UGUCGUGCAAAAUAUCGCGCGUUGUAUUCUGUUAAUUAGUGCACGCGUGAUUCGAUUCGAAUCGUGUUAAUUCGCGAGGAAAUACAGUAUGAGUGCCAUAAGAAAGCAAUCAAAAAAGCUGAACAAAAGAAGAGGAGAAGGCCUGGGGAGGCAUCGGGUUAUGGCGAAACAACUGCAAGAUCAACAUUUGUGUUACAACUCUGCGCAUCACACUGGAUACCUAUAAUAUUCAGCGACGAUUCUCGUGACUGCGUUCAAGGUCGCGGCUGAAAAACCUCCCUGGAUAUUACACGGGUUAACCGAGAUGUACAGAUAUACGUUCGCGCAGGAUAUUCAAAAACCGUCUCGCACGCGUGGAUCGGCAUGACGGAUCGGUGGCCUCUCGUGAUGAAUCGCUCCGUUAUAAUUCCUGACUUGGACCGAUGAUGAAUUCGCCCCCUCUUUUCGUGCCAUCGCUCGUGCUUCUACUUGGACUCAACGGCGACCCCCACCUUCGCUUCGACUCUAAGAUCUUUUAUGGAUUAACGUAAUUCCUGACACGACCAGAAAUUGCGUUUCACGAAUAGCUGACGAGAAGGAACGAUAAAAGGCGGUACUCCUCGCAGUGGGAU